AACUUCCAUUAUGUGAAAGCAGAUGAAACCAAAGCCUUGGCCCACACAGCAAACCUUUGGGUAGCAACGUGUUCUAGAAAAAUGGAGCCUGAAGAGUCCAGAUUGUUUUUUCUUGAAAUAUCAAGCAAGUCUGAAAUGAUUACUACCCAUGAGAUAUUUUUUUUAAUGGUGUUAGGUUUGGGGGUGUGUUAGAUUGUUUUGCAUUGCUAUAAAUGAAUACCUGAGGCUGAGGAAUUGGUAAAGAAAAGAGGUUUAUUUGGCUCACAUUUCUGCCUGGCGCUGGCAUAGUUGGCUUCUAGUGAGGCUUCAUGAAGCUUUCACUCAUGGUAGAAGGCAAGGUGGGAGCAGGCAUGUCACAUGGCAAAAGCGGGGAGCAAGAGAGAGGGAAGGAGGUGCCAGGCUCUUUUAAAUUCUAAACUAACAGCAAGAACUCACUCAUUCCCAUGAGGAAGGCACCAGGCCAUUCAUGAGGGAUCCUCCCUCAUGACCCAAACAGCCACCACGAGGCCCUACCUCCAAUUCUGGGGAUCACAUUCCAACAUAAGAUUCAGAGGGUGAAAACAUUCAAAGUCUACCAGGAGGUGAUGAAAGUGAUAUGACAACGUGAGGUUUAUGUUACCUGGAAGGUAGCGGGAGGCAGAGCAGAUGGUGGGAAGAAGAAAAGUGUAGCAACUACCUAGUCCUCGGCAUCAAAGAGCCCUCACUCAUUUAUAGAAGAAGACUAAAGAGCUUGGAAGUAGGGAGCAACACAAAAUGGGGAGUAGACAAAGUAGUAGGUAUCAGCACAGAGAUAAAAGACUCUGAACAGAGAGGACGGAUCCAAGGGGGACAGCCUGGAAGCUGGGGACCCAGCUGGAGGCCAGCACAAUCGCCUGGGUGAGAGGUGAGCCCUCCCUCCUCCAGAGGUGAGCCCUUCAGAGGAAGAGAUGAGAAAAAGAGACCCAGGACUCAUUACCGGCGGCUCUGGCUUGCUGUUCCAUGGGCAGCCCUUUCUACCUGUGAUCAAUACAUGCCUAUUUAGCAGCAUACUCACUCUGUCUCUCAUUCUAGACCGUGCUUCUGCCCAGAGUUAAUCAGGUUUUGAAUGUCGGCAUCCUGUCAUUUCAUCAUCUGCAGAUUCAGUGACCAGAGAGGAGGAAACACAGGGAAGCUUUAUAUUAAUAAAGGUGUCGCGUUGAAUAUUCCUAAGGAACAGUCAAAAGUAAGCAGUUCGUGUGCUUCUUUUCUGGUGACAAUAAUAGAUUGGGACCCAUGCCUUCCCAGAGCUCCCGAUAAGCAAUUGGAUCCAGUCUCCACUCCAGAACCUGAAUGGACUGUUUGCUCAAUACAGCUACUGCCAGCCAGUCAGCUUCAUGGGACAUGUGCCAAGAGGUCUUCCAUUCCAUUCUAUCUUGAAUAAACAAAUUAGAGUCCCAACAAAAACUCUUCCAAUGAGCCCUUUACUGAGCUAAAUUCAACAUACAUCAUAAUCUAGGAGGAAGCACCAGAAUGGAAAACUACUUUAAGUCACAGAAGCUAAAGGAGCAAUUGUAAGUGUUUUCUACAAAGUAUAUAUGCAGGAUCAGCAGGCAUGGGAAAUGCACACCAGCCCCUGAGGGAUUCUGGGCUGCCAGUGCAUGAAGGCAGACUCAAGACUGUGGAUUCUGGAAGAGGAAUCCGCUUGAGAGAGCAUCUAAUUCAAAAUGCAUCCAUAUAUGGCUUAAAAGUCAUCCAGGUUGUCAUAUCAGUGUAAUGAUUAUUCACUAGAACCAAGAGCGUUUAUAUUUUGAAGAUCAGAACAAGAUUCCCAGCAAAACAGAAACUAGGGUUCUCAGCGCGUUCAUGGAGGAGGAUUACAUGGGUCAGGCUGUUCUCUGGAGCAGUAGUUGUUUAUCUCCCUCUGCCUUCUCUCUCACCGAAGUGUACGUCACCACCCCAUGGAAGAUUCAAUGGACAUGAAGACAAGCCCCCUGUGGCCCCAGAAUCAUCUUUUGGUUGUGAACUAAAGGCCGACAAAGAUGAUCAGUUUAGGGUGGAUAACGAUGAAAAUGAGCUCCGGUUAUCUUUAAGAACGGUCAGUUUAAGGGCUGUGUAAAAGAUGAAUUGCACAUUGUUGAAGCAGAGGCAAUGAAUUAUGAAGGCAGUCCUACUGAAGUAACACUGGCAACUUUGAAAAUGUCAGUACAGCCAACGGUUUCCCUUGGGGGCUUUGAAAUCCCAUCAGCCAUGGGAUUACAGUUGGAGUGUGGAUCAAGGCCAGUGCAUAUUAGUGGGCAGCACUUAGCAGCUGUGGAGGAAGAGGCAGAGUGAGAAGACGAAGAGGAGGGGGAUGUGAAACUCAGGUACUUAAUGUGUCUGGAAGGUAAUCCUCCCCUGGAGAUAGAGGCAAGUUUCCACAGAAAAAUGUAAAACUUGCUGCUGCUGAUGGUGAUAAUUUUGAUGAGGAAAUUGAAGAAAAAGCUCCAGUGAGGAAAUCUAUAUAAGACACUCCAGCCAAAAAUGCACCAAAAUCAAACCAGAAUGGAAAAGACUCAAAACUAUCAAGACCAAGAUCAAAAGUUCAUGAAUACUUCAAAAAACAGGAAAAAACUCCUAAAAAUCCAAAAAGGACCUAGUUCUAAAGAAGACAUUAAAGCUAAAAUGCAAGCAAGUAUAGAAAAAGCACAUUGAACAGUCCUGGACAAUACUGCAAAAUUAAGUCCAAAGAUGGGGACAGAGGAAAGAGACAAAUACAGUCCAUGCUGAGUAUCAUCAGCCAUCCAGACUGAAGUCUUCUGUUUUAAUCCGAAUCCCCUUUCCUGAUAUGCCAGCCAUGCUCCUUCCAGGCUGGAAACAAACUCACUCUUGAUGUCCUAAAGCACUUUCUUUUGACAGCUGUGAUUCUGUGAACCUAGCCCCUUGCUUUCUGUUACUUGUGCAUUUGCCUCACCUCUCUGACCAUGUUUUAAUCACUUUUGGGUCUCCUUGGCUGCUCAAUAAAUAUUUGAAUGAAUCAAAAAAGAAAA